rnacentral:rRNA from 1 species
CCCUGCCUUUUGUACACACCGCCCGUCGCUACUACCGAUUGAAUGGCUUAGUGAGGUCUCCGGAUUGGCUUCGGGGAGCCGGCAACGGCACUCUGUCGCUGAGAAGCUGAUCAAACUUGGUCAUUUAG